GACGAGGGGUCCUAGCGUUGUUCGGAAUCAUUGGGCGUAAAGCGUGUGUAGGUGGCCAUACAAGUCAGUUGUGAAAGCCCCGGGCUCAACCCGGGAAGUGCUUCUGAUACUGUUUGGCUUGAGUACUGGAGAGGAUAGUGGAAUUCCUGGUGUAGUGGUGAAAUACGUAGAUAUCAGGAGGAACACCGGUGGCGAAGGCGGCUAUCUGGCCAUGUACUGACGCUGAGACACGAAAGCGUGGGGAACAAACAGG
rnacentral:rRNA from 1 species